UACGUAGGGUGCAAGCGUUGUCCGGAAUUACUGGGCGUAAAGCGCUCGCAGGUGGUCCGAUGCGUCGUGCGUGAAAGACCCCGGCUCAACUGGGGGGCGUCGUGCGAUACGGUCGGACUGGAGGCCAGUAGGGGGAUGCGGAAUUCCGGGUGUAGUGGUGGAAUGCGUAGAGAUCCGGAGGAACACCAGCGGCGAAGGCGGCAUCCUGGACUGGUCCUGACACUCAGGAGCGAAAGCGUGGGGAGCGAUCCGG
rnacentral:rRNA from 1 species